rnacentral:rRNA from 1 species
AGUGAACGCUGGCGGUAGGCCUAACACAUGCAAGUCGAACGGCAGCGCAGUAAGAGCUUGCUCUUACGGGUGGCGAGUGGCGGACGGGUGAGGAAUACAUCGGAAUCUACUUUUUCGUGGGGGAUAACGUAGGGAAACUUACGCUAAUACCGCAUACGACCUACGGGUGAAAGCAGGGGAUCUUCUGACCUUUCGCGAUGGAAAUAGCCUAUGUCGGAUUAGCUAGUUGGCGGGGUAAAGGCCCACCAAGGCGACGAUCCGUAGCUGGUCUGAGAGGAUGAUCAGACACACUGGAACUGAGACACGGUACAGACUCCUACGGGAGGCCGCAGUGGGGAAUAUUGGACAAUGGGCGCAAGCCUGAUCCAGCCAUACCGCGUGGGUGAAGAAGGACUUCGGGUUGUAAAGCCCUUUUGUUGGGAAAGAAAAGCAGCAGGUUAAUACCCCGCUGUUAUGACGGUACCCAAAGAAUAAGCACCGGCUAACUUCGUG